rnacentral:lncRNA from 1 species
GUUUCUUACAACCAAAUAACAGAGACUAAGAGAUUCAUGAAGUGUAUUGCUUAUUUUCCGUGUUUACACAAGUUUACAGACUUCUUCAAGGUCACUGGGCGCUGGAUGCCACUACCAGAUGCUUUCGUGUUGGGGCCACUCAGCCCUCUCCCAGAAGCUUACCAGGGACAGAUCGUGAACACCCUGAAUCUGGAGUCUGCAAUUUGGCAUUGGUUUUGGCUCACUCAUAAGAUCCUGGCUCCCGUGUCCCUCUCCCAAGGAGGAAAGCGCACAGCCGACUGACACGCUGUACUUAGGCCUGAUGCCCCAUGUUUCUGCUGGGGUUAUAAGAGAGGAAUGGAGGAAAAGAAUCUUGAUCUGCAGAGUGCCCUGCGUGUGUCCAGUAUUCGACGACCUGGAAGGUCAGCAUUACUGCCUUCAUUCCGUAGGUGAUAAACCUAAAGCCCAGAGUAUCACUACCCAAGCCUAUACAGUGAAUGAGUGACAGAUCUAGAGAA